rnacentral:lncRNA from 1 species
CUUGGGGUUGGCAGCUUUUCCCACUCUCCUUACUCUGUCCUUUCCCCUAGAGCUCCCAAAUCCAAAGGGGUGUGGAAGAGGAGGAGGAGCAGAAGCAGUCCUUGUCCAUGAUGCACCAGAGCUGUUCUAAUUCCCACCUACCCCCCUUGCAAUCAGUCAGCCAGGAGGCACCAAACUGUUAGAGACGAAGACGCAGCCUUUGGUGACUUCCACUACCUUCUCAUCCCCUACUCCAGACGUAUUUUGGAGAUGGAAGCAUCCUUGGCAGUAUGUGGGGCGAGCUUGGAGCUCACUUCUCCGGAGUCGCUCGCUCUUUGGAGCUAGGGCGAUCUCUGACCGCCGGCCAAGUCCUAGCCUGAGCGCUCCUGGAAACCCGGCUGGCCAUCUCGCCUCGGACAUGGAAUUACGCACCUGAGACCUGCAGGACGUUUGCCGGUUGUUUUACAAGAUUCAGCUGUGAAACAAAGCUGACAAUGAAGCCGCCAAUUCUUUUGGUUCUAGUGAUCUGUUCUGUAGUCAGCACAAAUUUGAAGAUGGUGUCAAAGAGAAAUUCUGGUAAGUUACUGGCUACUUCUCACUAUUUUGGUUAAA